CACGUAGGGUGCGAGCGUUGUCCGGAAUUAUUGGGCGUAAAGAGCUCGUAGGCGGUGUGUCGCGUCGGCCGUGAAAACCUGCAGCUUAACUGUGGGCGUGCGGUCGAUACGGGCAUCACUGGAGUUCGGCAGGGGAGACUGGAAUUCCUGGUGUAGCGGUGAAAUGCGCAGAUAUCGUAAGGAAGACCAGUGGCGAAGGCGGGGUCUCUGGACA
rnacentral:rRNA from 1 species